rnacentral:rRNA from 1 species
AUUCCCAAAGUAGUGGCGAGCGAAAUGGGAAGAGCCUGCACGUUUUAGCAUGACGCAUAGAAGAAUCCCCUGGAAAUGGGAGCCAUAGACGGUGAUAGCCCGGUAUUCGAAAUGCGAUGUGUGGAACUAAGCGUGCGACAAGUAGGGCGGGACACGAGAAAUCCUGUCUGAAUAUGGGGGGACCAUCCUCCAAGGCUAAAUACUCGUAAUCGACCGAUAGUGAACCAGUACCGUGAGGGAAAGGCGAAAAGAACCCCGGAAGGGGAGUGAAAUAGAUCCUGAAACCGUGUGCAUACAAACAGUAGGAGCGGACUUGUUCCGUGACUGCGUACCUUUUGUAUAAUGGGUCAGCGACUUACAUUCAGUGGCAAGGUUAACCAUAUAGGGAAGCCGUAGAGAAAUCGAGUCCGAAUAGGGCGACAGUCGCUGGGUGUAGACCCGAAACCAAGU